rnacentral:rRNA from 1 species
CCUACGGGAGGCAGCAGUGAGGAAUAUUGGUCAAUGGACGAGAGUCUGAACCAGCCAAGUAGCGUGAAGGAUGACUGCCCUAUGGGUUGUAAACUUCUUUUAUAUGGGAAUAAAAUGUUCCACGUGUGGGCUUUUGUAUGUACCAUAUGAAUAAGGAUCGGCUAACUCCGUGCCAGCAGCCGCGGUAAUACGGAGGAUCCGAGCGUUAUCCGGAUUUAUUGGGUGUAAAGGGAGCGUAGGUGGAUUGUUAAGUCAGUUGUGAAAGUUUGCGGCUCAACCGUAAAAUUGCAGUUGAAACUGGCAGUCUUGAGUACAGUAGAGGUGGGCGGAAUUCGUGGUGUAGCGGUGAAAUGCGUAGAUAUCACGAAGAACUCCGAUUGCGAAGGCAGCUCACUGGACUGCAACUGACACUGAGGCUCGAAAGUGUGGGUAUCAAACAGGAUUAGAUACCCUAGUAGUC